rnacentral:lncRNA from 1 species
GUCCAGACAAUGACUAAUAACAUAUGAAACCCGUACUUUAAAAACAUUCUUUAUAUAUCAUUCAAAAACAUCUUACGAAAUUUGUUAUAUAUAAUCUCGAGGUUUUCGGUCAACAAAUCUUAUACAUAAGAAAUAUCAAAACGACUUUGCAAGGAUGAUAAAACUACCGCUAGCUAAUGUUGUUCCUUCCAGUCCUAGAGUAAGGUCUCCCAUCUACUGGUUAUCUGCAUCACAAAUGAGUCAUGAGUAACUAGUUUGCUCAGUAAGCCUAGUCCCACACCCUAACGUAUAUUAAUAAUAUCACAAGCAAUGAACUUCAUUUGUAUGCAGUGGAAAUAUAUUCCAUAGUUAAUAAAAAUACAUAUAUAAGGCAUAUCAUUCCAUCGAUGUGAAUCUUAUCUUAUACCUCGCUUCCUAUUCCCGUAUUCCAUAUCACUCAUAUAAUCAUACAUAUAUAUAUGCUAGACCCGAGAAACCACAAAGGCUAAACGAGUCUAGCGAGUUAGCAUCACCAUCAUCGUCGAAUGUCCAAUAUGAACAUUCGACACUACAUCGUCAUGCAGUACACGGUCUACAGGGUGCCCCCAUCAUCUUGUCUUUAUGACCUGGUUCCAUUCGCAGGACCAGUCACGGUACUAAUCGUUCAUACGUGAAUAUUUUGAGAAACAGGUUUAAUAAGACUUCACAUAAUUAAUACUCCAUACUUAUUUAUAUACAUAUAUAAAUUAGUACUUGAGAACAAGUACUAAGACUUGGGAUGAACCUCAAAGAAUAAAUCAUAAUAAUUUUUAAGUGUUUACAUAAGUAAACACCUAACCAUUCAAUAUAAAUUAAAGACUUACUUAUCAAACAAGCAUAAUCAGUAAUUUCAAUCAAGCAACACUUAAUCCUAAAACUCAUCAAUCAUCUAUCUAGACUCACCUUUAAAUCCAUGAGAUUGGCUAAGGAAGACUAGACUCGAGUUCAAGCUCAAGCUAAUCACACUCGGCUUCUGGAACAUUCUCGAAUUAAAACCA